rnacentral:lncRNA from 10 species
UAAUUGCAGUGUUUGCCUUUACUUUCAAUGCUUCAUACUGCUGAAAGACUGACUCGUAUGUCCUUGCCUAAUUCUAUGUUUACUGACAUCCUUGAUAACUACUCACUUUUGUUCUUUAAAAUUAUUUGCUGACCGCACAUUUUAACAAGAAUUUAAAACAGGACUACAGUCAAGAAAAAAAAUUGAGAGAAAUGUUUUCUAAAAUGGGAUGACUUUAAUGAAACUGCUCAGUCUGUACAACAGUAUCAUGUAUUUUACUUGAAUGAAGUUGUUAAACAAGAUCUCUGUUUACGUAUACUGUUGUGCAGUUAUCAACCCUUAUAAAGAAAUUACCAAGGUAAGCAGAUUUAGUUAUAAAGGUGCUCAUUGUAUCCUUGUUUCCUGACCUCAUGAUCCACCUGCCUCGGCCUCCCAAAGUGCUGAGAUUACAGGCAUGAGCCACCGUGCCCGGCCUGUUGUUUCCUUCUUUGUGUCUAUGAGUUCUCAUAAUUUAGCUCCCACUUAUAAGUGAGAACAUGCAGUAUUCGGUUUUUUGUUCCUGCAUUAGUUUGCUAAGGAUUAUGACCUCCAGCUCCAUCCAUGUUCCUACAAACGAUCUGACCUUGUUCUUUUAUAUGGCUGCAUAGUAUUCCAUGGUGUAUAUGUACCACAUUUUCAAGCCCUGUUUCAUCUCCUGUUGCAAUUCUUUGAAGAAAUUCUUCAUAAUCUCU